GACGAACGCUGGCGGCGUGCUUAACACAUGCAAGUCGAGCGGUAAGGCCCUUUCGGGGGUACGACGAGCGGCGAACGGGUGAGUAACACGUGGGUGACCUGCCCUCAGCUCUGGGAUAAGCCCGGGAAACUGGGUCUAAUACCGGAUAUGACUUCAUGACGCAUGUUGUGGAGUGGAAAGCCUUGUGCGGCUGAGGAUGGGCCCGCGGCCUAUCAGCUUGUUGGUGGGGGAUGGCCUACCAAGGCGACGACGGGUAGCCGGCCUGAGAGGGCGGACCGGCCACACUGGGACUGAGAUACGGCCCAGACUCCUACGGGAGGCAGCAGUGGGGAAUCUUGCGCAAUGGGCGAAAGCCUGACGCAGCGACGCCGCGUGAGGGAU
rnacentral:rRNA from 1 species